GAUCAACGCUGGCGGCGUGCCUAACACAUGCAAGUCGAACGCGCUUACGUAAGUAAGUGAGUGGCGGACGGGUGAGUAACACGUGGGUGAUCUGCCCUGAGGUGAGGAAUACCGGCGAGAAAUCGCCGACAAUACCGCAUACGUUUCUUUCGGGAAGCAAAGCUCGCAAGAGCGCCACAGGAGGAGCCCGCGGCCGAUUAGCUAGCUGGUAAGGUAAUGGCUACCAGGGCGACGAUCGGUAGCUGGUCUGAGAGGACGAGCAGCCACACUGGGAUUGAGAACGGCCCAGACUCCUACGGGGGGCAGCAGUGAGGAAUUUUCGUCAAUGGGGGCAACCCUGAACGAGCAACGCCGCGUGCAGGAAGAAGGUUUUCGGAUCGUAAACUGCUUUUCUGAGGGACGAGCAAGGACGGUACCUCAGGAAGAAGCCCCGGCUAACUACGUGCCAGCAGCCGCGGUAAUACGUAGGGGGCGAGCGUUGUCCGGAGUUACUGGGCGUAAAGGGCACGCAGGCGGUCUUUUCAGUUCGGAGUGACAGUCGUCGGCUUACCUGACGAAGGCCUCGGAAGACGGGAAGACUUGAGGGCUCACGAGGGACACGGAAUUCCGGGUGGAGUGGUGAAAUGCGUAGAUAUCCGGAGGAACACCAAAGGCGAAGGCAGUGUCCUGGGGAGUUACUGACGCUCAGGUGCGAAAGCCAGGGGAGCGAACGGGAUUAGAUACCCCGGUAGUCCUGGCCGUAAACGAUGACCACUGGGCGUUGGGGGUAUCGACCCCUUCAGUGCCGCAGUUAACACGAGAAGUGGUCCGCCUGGGGAGUACGGUCGCAAGAUUA
rnacentral:rRNA from 1 species